GCUAUCUGAGGGCAGGGGGGGGUGGUAAGAGGUGAGGUGUGAGGGGUGUCGUGAAGUAUUGGGCGGAAAGGGCCUGUAGGCGGUUAGGUGCGGCGUGCGUGAAAACCUGGGGCUUAUCUCCGGGCUUGCGGUCGAUACGGGCAGACUUGAGUUCGGCAGGGGAGACUGGAAUUCCUGGUGUAGCGGUGAAAUGCGCAGAUAUCAGGAGGAACACCGGUGGCGAAGGCGGGUCUCUGGGCCGAUACUGACGCUGAGGAGCGAAAGCGUGGGGAGCGAACAGGAUUAGAUACCCUGGUAGUC
rnacentral:rRNA from 1 species